GAUGAACGCUGGCGGCGUGCCUAACACAUGCAAGUCGAGCGAGAUAAAUGUGAGUGGAGACUUCGGUCAAAGCGAUCAUUUUGAAAGCGGCGGACGGGUGAGUAACGCGUGAGCAAUCUGCCCCAUACAAAGGGUUACCCACUGGAAACGGUGAUUAAUACCUUAUAAGACCACGAAGUCGCCUGGCUUAGUGGCCAAAGCUUUAUCGGUAUGGGAUGAGCUCGCGUCUGAUUAGCUAGUUGGUGAGGUAAUGGCUCACCAAGGCGACGAUCAGUGGCCGACCUGAGAGGGUGAACGGCCACAAUGGAACUGAGACACGGUCCAGACUCCUACGGGAGGCAGCAGUGGGGAAUAUUGCACAAUGGGCGCAAGCCUGAUGCAGCAACGCCGCGUGAAUGAUGAAGGCCUUCGGGUCGUAAAGUUCUGUCCUAAGGGAAGAAUACAGUGACGGUACCUUAGGAGGAAGCCCCGGCUAACUACGUGCCAGCCGCCGCCGUAA
rnacentral:rRNA from 1 species